CUUUGAAUGAAGCAUGGUAAUUUGCACAAAAAGUUGAUUUGGUUCUCUAGGCUUGCCCUCUCUGAUGCCUUUCGGCUUUGAUUUGGGGUAUGGUUCUAUAGCAAAACG